rnacentral:lncRNA from 1 species
CCGCCCCCGCCGGACCCCGCCGGGCUGGCAACCCUGCCCGCGCUCCCUCCCGGGCAUCCAGGCACAUAAAGGCCUUAUUGCUUCUGAUCAGAGACUGAGGUGGGGCGGCCCCCUGGGCGGCUUCCGGUGCAUACCCUGCCUCUGGGCACGGCCCUGCCGGUCACAGGGGGAGGACAGUUUGAGGAAGUCCCUCUGGCUUCUGACCUAUGGCCCUUGUGCUGCAGCUGCCACCUGUUGGGCUCCCUGGGAAUGGGGUUGCUGGAGCCCAGGCUGGGAUUGGGGCAGGGGAGGUGGUGGGGGUGGGAGGGUAGGGGUGAGGCCUGCACCUCUGCUCAGCACAUGUGGGAGCUCCCUGGGUGGGCAGCCCCAGCCCCACCUCGAGGAAGGCCUUCCUGAACAGCUGGGCUGCAGGGUGUGGAUUUGCAUAGAGGCCUGGGGGGUCAAGUCCCCCCCAAGAGUGAGCUGGAGCAGGAGAAGGGUGGGCUGGUUGGGAAACAGGCCUCCCUCAUCUCUCCUGGCACCGGAGCAUGGUGGGGGUCCCUGGGUGCAGUCCUGGGACAAGGGGCUUUGGCAUCCCUCCCUGGGGAGGGUCAGGCACGGGGCUCCAGGCUAACAAAGGCCCUGGAGAUACUAAGCAGGCUUUAACUGAGAGGCUCCACGUACCACUGACCCAGCAUGGAAGGCUUUGGGCGGUGAGUGGCUGCGCUCAGAGUCCC